GUACCUCAUCGCCUCUCAUUAUAGCGUUUAUCCUUUCAUUUAUUUCUUUUUUCAAUUUUUUUAAUGUCUUGUCUGCCGCUGACUCUUCAUUUCCUCUCUAGGUCUUUCCGGAAUCUCUGGAAUCUCCUGAAAUCUUCUUCACGAGUAUGGUUAGUACUAUGUGAUCAUGAAGGAACGAAAGGGACGGAUAGGGGGUUUUUAGGCAUUAUGAUUUCAUGCUUGGAAGAUGUUGGAUUUACUGCCAGUGGCGUUUUGGAUAUCUUUUUUAGAUUUGAGGCUAGGAAAGACUUUGAGUUAGUGAAUGUUCUCUUGCUGCUUCAAAGAUGAAUAAGGGGGCUCGAUCUCUUUGAGGGUAAAGAUCAUUAGUUCAAGCAGUGACAUGUAAUUGCUUGACAACGAGAGAGAGCACGCUAGUCAGCAUUCAUGCGAGGAACAUGACUGUGUACAGGCGUGCUCUCUCUCGCUGUCAUACAAUCUUCUCAUCAAGGCUGUCUUACAUAUUCACCUUGUUCGUGAGCGUUGGACCUCAAGGCAUACAGACCAGCAGGAUUUGAUCACUUACCAAACAAGACACGGGUUGCAUCCUUGAGGAAAUCUCCAAGUAAGCCACGCAUAUAUGCACUUCCCAUAUCCACAUGCAUUCAAAAAGGAAGCAUAAUAUUCAAUGAGGGAGAGGCUGCCAUAGAAGAUCCCCACUUCCCAUAAGAAGAAGAUCUCUAUAGGCUGGUUGUACUAAGGGGAAUUUUAGGGAUCCUCACGCAGCCAUAGAAGGAAUGGGCUGCCAUAUAAAAAAGAAUAUAAGAACAGGGAACGGAGGACUCCCGAGAGCAUGCAUAGAUUUUGGAGAGCAGCAGGGGACUUCGGACAGCAGAUUCGGUUGCCUCUUUGACGCACCAAGAGAGGAUUUUCUGAGAAACACACAUAACAGAUUUCUGGGCUGCUACAACAUAACAUGCAUCAUUGAGGCUUCUCCAACAGGCAUGCAUUAUCAGUUUUGAAGGGCAACAUAGCACAUGCCAUGCUAGAUCUAUCUAACACAACACGAAAGAUUUUUGGGGGACAGAACACACACAGCUGCAUAGAAGAAUAAUCCCCAAUAGAGAAAAAUGGAGGAAAGGAAAAGGAAAAAAGAAUCUGAUUAUUUAUGAGUGGUUUUUCAUGGUUUGGAACCUGGGAGGAAAUGAAUCAUAUAUCCUUUCAUAGGUGAGGUGACUACAUUUAUUUCACUUAGUUGAUGUUUGGUUUGCUUUUUGCGAAACUAAAACGGAGUAAAACAUGUCAUUUAGCAUUUUAUUUUCAUGUCUUUUACUUAAUGCUCUCAGCAACCAGACAGAGGGUUAGAGUUUUCUGGGUAUUAUGGUAAAUGACAUUUUCUUAUGGAGUUUGAGCUAGUUAUUAUGCUUUGUAAUUUGUCAUGCUGAUGAGUCAGGCCGUGUUUUCAGAUUUCAUGCUUGGAAGAUGUUGGGUUUGCUCCCAGUGGCAUUUUUGGUGAGUGAAUGUCCUAGGUCCACAUUUUUAAUGAGAGUGAUGGACAAACUUGCAGUUUAAUAUCUUUGUUGCUUUUAUACCAAUAUUUGGGUUGUGUAUUUGUUUAAAAAUCCACGAAUGUAGAAAAUUUUAUUGAAGCCUCUGGCAUGUUUCAGAUGGUUGUUUUAAUCUUUUGGUAGUGGUUCUUGCUAGAUUUGAGGUUUCAUGGUUCAGAGAUC